rnacentral:rRNA from 1 species
AGAGUUUGAUCCUGGCUCAGGACUAACGCUGGCGGCGUGCUUAACACAUGCAAGUUGAACGGGGUACUUCUUGUAGCAAUAUGAGGAGUACUUAGUAGCGGACGGGUGAGUAACGCGUGAACAAUCUACCUUUGUGAGGGGGACAACAGCUGGAAACGGCUGCUAAUACCGCAUGAGACCACGGCUUCGAGUGGAGCUGAGGUAAAAGAUUUAUCGCACAAAGAUGAGUUCGCGUCCCAUUAGCUAGUUGGUGAGGUAACGGCUCACCAAGGCGACGAUGGGUAGCCGACCUGAGAGGGUGAUCGGCCACAUUGGAACUGAGACACGGUCCAAACUCCUACGGGAGGCAGCAGUGGGGAAUAUUGCACAAUGGGCGAAACCCUGAUCCAGCCAUACCGCGUGAGUGAAGAAGGCCUUCGGGUUGUAAAGCUCUUUCAGCUGGAAAGAAAACGCCAUCUCUAAUACAGGUGGUGGAUGACGGUACCAGCAGAAGAAGCACCGGCUAACUACGUGCCAGCAGCCGCGGUAAUACGUAGGGUGCGAGCGUUAAUCGGAAUUACUGGGCGUAAAGCGUGCGCAGGCUGUUUGGCAAGUCAGAUGUGAAAUCCCCGAGCUCAACUUGGGAACUGCGUUUGAAACUGCCAGACUAGAAUAGGUCAGAGGGGGGUAGAAUUCCACGUGUAGCAGUGAAAUGCGUAGAGAUGUGGAGGAAUACCAAUGGCGAAGGCAGCCCCCUGGGAUCAUAUUGACGCUCAUGCACGAAAGCGUGGGGAGCGAACAGGAUUAGAUACCCUGGUAGUCCACGCCCUAAACGAUGUCAACUAGUUGUUGGUGGAGUAAAAUCCAUGAGUAACGUAGCUAACGCGUGAAGUUGACCGCCUGGGGAGUACGGUCGCAAGAUUAAAACUCAAAGGAAUUGACGG